GGCAAUUCUCUGCCUGUGUUUAAUCAUUGGACAUUUGCUUGAAGAGAACCGAUAGGUCAAGGAAUCAAUCACUGCAAUCAUAAUUGUAAACUUCCUUCUCUGUCAUUUCUCUGCCUGUGUUUUGGUCUAAAUGACAUCUUAUUAUUGAGCAAAGGAAAAUGCUCUCCCAUCCUAAGAUUCGAUGAAGAAUUGUUCUUCAUUUAUAUCCUUCCCCCUAUUAUAUUCAAUGCAGGGUAAAAUCGGCUUCGAAUGUCUGUUGAAUUAACUUGGAUUUCGAAACCGGCUGAACUUCAUUGUUUGCUGCCCUGCUUGCAGAUUUCAGGCAAUUGGUGGCUGUUUCCCAAGCUAGGAUUUGGUGGUUGGACUCCACGAGAAUAUUAUUAAUGGUGUUCUGUUGUCGACUAAUAUCCAGAUUCCGGAUUAAUUUCUUCCAUGCUGUUCUGUUUCAGCAGUGGGAACUAUUUUCUCAUCAACUGAUACAGUUCGUACAUUACAGGUUCUUCAUCAAUAUGAAAAUCCUUCUAGUCUUCGGAGGAGUAGUGAAUGAAUGAUACAACAUCAGUUGCUCUCUUCAACGCGAUUCAAAAGAUCAAUAAUCUUUAGGGUAUUUAAAUAAAAAUAUCAAUAAUCUUUUGCCAGGAUUUGGAUUAACAGAAAGAACAUUGUCGGUUCGGUCGGUGGCUACUUGUCAAACGAAAUAAGUGUCUGAACACUACGUAACAUCACAUGGUAUA